AGAAGUGAGAAUGCCGGUGUGAGUAGCGAAAGACGGGUGAGAAUCCCGUCCACCGAUUGACUAAGGUUUCCAGAGGAAGGCUCGUCCGCUCUGGGUUAGUCGGGUCCUAAGCUGAGGCCGACAGGCGUAGGCGAUGGAUAACAGGUUGAUAUUCCUGUACCACCUAUAAUCGUUUUAAUCGAUGGGGGGACGCAGUAGGAUAGGCGAAGCGUGCGAUUGGAUUGCACGUCUAAGCAGUAAGGCUGAGUAUUAGGCAAAUCCGGUACUCGUUAAGGCUGAGC
rnacentral:rRNA from 1 species